AAAAAUUGGUUACUGUCAGGAUUGCCAGGUCUGGAAACAAAACAAACCCAAUGGCUAUUCAAAACUAGCCCAAUCACGUUUUUUUCCCCAUGGUUUUCCCAUCCAUCAAAAUUGCAUUCCGGGGAGUGGAGGGAGAUGGCUUUAACCUGCUGACUAAAAAACAACCAGCGGAAAACAACAGCACAAAAGUAGCCCAAUUCCACGGUGUCUGGAGCACAGAGAAAAGAAAAACAUGAGUAAAUUACAUUCUUUUUGUGAAUUGCCCCUGGAGUCAGCAAGAACGUAGGAAGAUGGCAAAUUUACAUCCCCAAAGACAAUUUGUACAUGGAGCAUAACAGCAAAAAUAGGCUCAUAAAUCACAUCAGCUGCGGCCCUGAGUGCAAUCGAUUACCUCACGGCAAAAGGAAUGGGGACAUUAAAGCCUCUGGUCCCUAAACAUCCACAUCAGGAGUCUCUGUAUGGGAUAUAUGAGAGCAGGACCCUCCAGAGAUUAGGAGGAGGAAAGGGGACAUCAGCCACCAGAUCCAGUCUGUAUCCAGGACAGAUGGUCACUGCAGCCACCCGGAUCCAGUAU